rnacentral:rRNA from 1 species
AUUGAACGCUGGCGGCAGGCUUAACACAUGCAAGUCGAGCGGUAACAGAGAGAAGCUUGCUUCUCUGCUGACGAGCGGCGGACGGGUGAGUAAUGCCUAGGAAUCUGCCUAGUAGUGGGGGAUAACUUGCCGAAAGGUAAGCUAAUACCGCAUACGUCCUACGGGAGAAAGGAGGGGACCUUCGGGCCUUUCGCUAUUAGAUGAGCCUAGGUCGGAUUAGUUAGUUGGUGAGGUAAUGGCUCACCAAGACCGCGAUCCGUAACUGGUCUGAGAGGAUGAUCAGUCACACUGGAACUGAGACACGGUCCAGACGCCUACGGGAGGCAGCAGUGGGGAAUAUUGGACAAUGGGGGGAACCCUGAUCCAGCCAUGCCGCGUGUGUGAAGAAGGUCCUAGGAUUGUAAAGCACUUUAAGCUGGGAGGAAGAGCAGUUAACUAAUAUUUGACUGUUUUGACGUUACCGACAGAAUAAGCACCGGCUAACUUCGUGCCAGCCGCCGCGUAA